CUCCUUGUAGCUCAACGGAAGAGCACCCCAUUGCCUAUGGGACGGUUGCGGGUUCGAAUCCUGCCAGGGAUU
rnacentral:tRNA from 1 species